rnacentral:rRNA from 1 species
GAAAUCUGUUUAUAGUUAGUAUUGUGAAAGAGAAAGUAUUAUGAUUUCGUGAGAGAUGAUUAUAAGAGUAGAAAUUUUUAAUUAGUGUUCUUUUUGUAUCAUGAUUUAUAAAUAGUAUAUGAAGAUUUUAUUUCCUGAAAAUUUUAGAGUGAUUCUUUUGUAUUUCUAAUGUUUCAAAAUUAGGUAAAAGAUAAGAAUGGUAAUGAUAUGUUUUUCGAGAAGGUUGAUAGCUGGUUUAAAGGGAAAUAUAUUUUAGUAUAGAUAAAAUUAUUUGUUAAAGUUAAAAUUUAAAAAUUUUAAUGAGAUUUUAAUUCAGAUUUUAGGGGUAAGCUCUAAAGUAAGAGGAGAUGUAUGAGUUAUAGUUAGAUUAGUAGGGUUGAUAUUGGCCACCUAUAAGAAUUGUUGUUAUAAAGUAAUUACAAGAAGUUUUUGAUUAAGUACCUUUAUAUUUGUAAUAACUAUUAAUUAAGAACUUAGUAUAAAAUUAGUAGCAGAUGUAGUAUAAAAUGAAAAUUGUUUUAAUUGAAGAGUUAUAAAAUGUUAAUUCAUUAAUGAGAGGUUUAAUUUAAAAUAAAUAUUUUUAAAAGGAAUUCGGCUAAAAUUUUUUACGCCUGUUUAUCAAAAACAUGGCCUUUUGUUUAUUAAAAUAAUAAUAUAAGAGGUUAGGCCUGCCCGGUGGUUUAUCUAAACGGCUGCAAUUAAUAAUUGUACAAAGGUAGCGAAAUCAGUUGUCCUUUAAAUGGGGAAAGGUAUGAAAGGUUUGACGAUAAAAAAGCUGUCUCUUAAAAAUAGUGUGAAAUUUCCGUUUAAGUGAAAAGGCUUAAAUUUUUGAAAAAGACGAGAAGACCCUAUUGAGCUUGAUUAUGCUUUUUUAUUAAAAAAAGUUGAAGUUUUAUUGGGGCAAUAAGAAGCUAUAGAAAACGCUUCUUUUAAAGGUGAAGAUCCUUCAUGGGAGAAACAAGCAAAAGCUACCAUAGGGAUAACAGCGUUAUCUUUCUUGAGAGUUCUGAUUAAGGGAAAGGUUUGCGACCUCGAUGUUGGAUUAAAAUAUCUUUUUGGUGCAGCAGCUAAAAAAGUAAGACUGUUCGUCUUUUAAAAUUUUACAUGAACUGAGUUAAGACCGGUGUGAACUAGGUCGGUUUCUAUCUUUUUUUUAUGGCAGCUUUGUACGAAAGGAUCGGCUGGUAAUGUUUUACUUUUUU